UCUGUUUUAGACCAGGGUUGAAUGGUGUAAUCUGUUUUAGACCAGGGUUGAAGGGUUUAAUCUGUUUUAGACCAGGGUUGGAGGGUGUAAUCUGUUUUUAGACCAGGGUUGGAGGGUGUAAUCUGUUUUUAGACCAGGGUUGGAGGGUGUAAUCUGUUUUAGACCAGGGUUGAAUGGUGUAAUCUGUUUUAGACCAGGGUUGAAGGGUUUAAUCUGUUUUAGACCAGGGUUGGAGUGUGUAAUCUGUUUUAGACCAGGGUUGAAGGGUUUAAUCUGUUUUAGACCAGGGUUAGAGGGUUUAAUCUGUUUUAGACCAGGGUUGGAGGGUGUAAUCUGUUUUAGACCAGGGUUGGAGGGUGUAAUCUGUUUUAGACCAGGGUUGAAGGGUUUAAUCUGUUUUAGACCAGGGUUGGAGGGUUUAAUCUGUUUUAGACCAGGGUUGGAGAACAGUUGAACUCAUGAUGCAUCUCUAAUUAAUUUUUUUCAACAAUCAAUGGUUUCUGUUCUGUUCGAGACCACCUAAAGCGAGACCAAGUCAGAGCCCUCGAGGGGGGGCGAGGCGGUGUCAAUACAGAGACCACGAGGGGGUCGAGACUGUGUCAAGACAGAGACCACGAGGGGGGUCGAGACUGUGUCAAGACAGAGACCACGAGGGGGUCGAGACUGUGUCAAGACAGAGACCACGAGGGGGGCGAGACGGUGUCAAGACAGAGACCACGAGGGGGGCGAGACGGUGUCAAGCCAGAGACCACGAGGGGGGCGAGACGGUGUCAAGCCAGUGACCACAAGGGGGGCAAGAUGGAGACUGUGAGACAGAGACCGCGAGUGGGUUGAGACGGUGUCAAGACAGACCGGAAGGGGAUGAGGAUUUAGGGACGGAGUCAAGACCAAGACUAGAAAAAGAUAAGUAGAUAGACGAUAUGUUACAACUCACUGACCCCAACAGGACAAUAUGUUACAACUCUCUGACCCCAACAGGACAAUAUGUUACAACUCACUGACCCCAACAGGUCUCCAAUAGGUAGACUAUGUUACAACUCACUGACCCCAACAGGUCUCCAAUAGGUAGACUAUGUUACAACUCACUGACCCCAACAGGUCUCCAAUAGGUAGACAAUAUGUUACAACUCACUGACCCCAACAGGACAAUAUGUUACAACUCACUGACCCCAACAGGCCAAUAUGUUACAACUCACUGACCCCAACAGGACAAUAUGUUACAACUCACUGACCCCAACAGGACAAUAUGUUACAACUCACUGACCCCAACAGGCCAAUAUGUUACAACACACUGACCCCAACAGGACAAUAUGUUACAACUCACUGACCC
rnacentral:lncRNA from 1 species